rnacentral:rRNA from 1 species
AACACUGACCAAGGAGUCUAGCAUGUGCGCGAGUCAUUGGGAUUUUACUAAACCUAAAGGCGAAAUGAAAGUGAAGGUCCGUCUCGUGCGGACCGCGGGAAGAUGGGCGUCACCGCUUCGCGGCGGCCGCUCCGCACUCCCGGGGCGUCUCGUUCUCAUCGCGAGAUGAGGCGCACCAUGAGCGUACACGCUGGGACCCGAAAGAUGGUGAACUAUGCCUGGUCAGGACGAAGUCAGGGGAAACCCUGAUGGAGGUCCGUAGCGAUUCUGACGUGCAAAUCGAUCGUCGGAACUGGGUAUAGGGGCGAAAGACUAAUCGAACCAUCUAGUAGCUGGUUCCCUCCGAAGUUUCCCUCAGGAUAGCUGGCGCUCGUCGCGUACGAGUCUCAUCCGGUAAAGCGAAUGAUUAGAGGCAUUGGGGUCGAAACGGCCUCAACCUAUUCUCAAACUUUAAAUGGGUGAGAUCUCCGGCUUGCUCGAACCGAUGAAGCCGCGAGACUACGGAUCAGAGUGCCAAGUGGGCCAUUUUUGGUAAGCAGAACUGGCGCUGUGGGAUGAACCAAACGCCGAGUUAAAGCGCCUAAAUCGACGCUUAUGGGACACCAUGAAAGGCGUUGGUAACUUAAGACAGCAGGACGGUGGCCAUGGAAGUCGGAAUCCG